rnacentral:rRNA from 1 species
UACAGAGGGUGCAAGCGUUAAUCGGAAUUACUGGGCGUAAAGGGUGUGUAGGUGGUCUGUUAAGUCAGACGUGAAAUCCCCGGGCUCAACCUGGGAAUGGCGUUUGAUACUGGCAGACUCGAGUGUGGUAGAGGGUAGUGGAAUUCCGCAUGUAGCAGUGAAAUGCGUAGAUAUGCGGAGGAACAUCAGUGGCGAAGGCGGCUACCUGGACCAACACUGACACUGAGGCACGAAAGCGUGGGUAGCAAACAGGAUUAGAAACCCUUGUAGU